rnacentral:rRNA from 1 species
GACGAACGCUGGCGGCGUGCUUAACACAUGCAAGUCGAACGGUAAGGCUCCAGCUUGCUGGGGUACACGAGUGGCGAACGGGUGAGUAACACGUGGGUGACCUGCCCUGCACUUCGGGAUAAGCCUGGGGAACUGGGUCUAAUACCGGAUAGGACCAUGGUGUGGAUACUGUGGUGGAAAGUUUUUUCGGUGUGGGAUGGGCCCGCGGCCUAUCAGCUUGUUGGUGGGGUAAUGGCCUACCAAGGCGGCGACGGGUAGCCGGCCUGAGAGGGUGGACGGCCACAUUGGGACUGAGACACGGCCCAGACUCCUACGGGAGGCAGCAGUGGGGAAUAUUGCACAAUGGGCGGAAGCCUGAUGCAGCGACGCCGCGUGGGGGAUGACGGCCUUCGGGUUGUAAACUCCUUUCACCAUCGACGAAGGGUUUCUGACGGUAGAUGGAGAAGAAGCACCGGCUAACUACGUG